rnacentral:rRNA from 1 species
AGAGUUUGAUCCUGGCUCAGAUUGAACGCUGGCGGCAGGCCUAACACAUGCAAGUCGAGCGGUAGCACAGGAGAGCUUGCUCUCUGGGUGACGAGCGGCGGACGGGUGAGUAAUGUCUGGGAAACUGCCUGAUGGAGGGGGAUAACUACUGGAAACGGUAGCUAAUACCGCAUGACCUCGCAAGAGCAAAGUGGGGGACCUUCGGGCCUCACGCCAUCGGAUGUGCCCAGAUGGGAUUAGCUAGUAGGUGAGGUAAUGGCUCACCUAGGCGACGAUCCCUAGCUGGUCUGAGAGGAUGACCAGCCACACUGGAACUGAGACACGGUCCAGACUCCUACGGGAGGCAGCAGUGGGGAAUAUUGCACAAUGGGCGCAAGCCUGAUGCAGCCAUGCCGCGUGUGUGAAGAAGGCCUUCGGGUUGUAAAGCACUUUCAGCGAGGAGGAAGGCCAGUGACUUAAUAAGUGACUGGAUUGACGUUACUCGCAGAAGAAGCACCGGCUAACUCCGUGCCAGCAGCCGCGGUAAUACGGAGGGUGCAAGCGUUAAUCGGAAUUACUGGGCGUAAAGCGCACGCAGGCGGUUUGUUAAGUCAGAUGUGAAAUCCCCGAGCUUAACUUGGGAACUGCAUUUGAAACUGGCAAGCUAGAGUCUUGUAGAGGGGGGUAGAAUUCCAGGUGUAGCGGUGAAAUGCGUAGAGAUCUGGAGGAAUACCGGUGGCGAAGGCGGCCCCCUGGACAAAGACUGACGCUCAGGUGCGAAAGCGUGGGAGCAAACAGGAUUAGAUACCCUGG